AGGAGAGCAUUAAGUGCCAAGUGUCUUGUUGGUGUAAAUCCAAUUAGUAUUUUGCUUUGAUAGUUCAAAGGCUGGAAACACCAAAUUUGCAUUUUCCCUGGUUUUUACAUUUAAAGCUUGUCUUACUUUUGAAUUCGGGAUGCAAGAAUAGCAGUAAUUACUGGAUCUAUUUUACUUAGAAAGAAGGAAGAAACUCUCCAAGUUAUUGAAAGGUACAGGGCAAUGAGAUGACGCUAUAGUGUGUAUGAGAAGAAUGUGAGUACAAUACAAACCAAGGAGCAAGCAGUCCCACAGAGGCUAUGAUCAUGGCACUGGAUUUAUUUUGUAGUCCAAGAAGUGGACUGUUAAGCAUCAGCCAGGGUUGACAUCAAGAACCCAGAAAGUGCCAACGACAGGGAUGGGACAUAGAGUGGAAAAUCUGCAACCUGUAAGAUGGACCCAGGAACUGAAGGCAGGAAUGUGGAAAGCCCAGUAAACCUUCCCUUAAGUCUGCACAAGUGUCUAAG